UAUCUGAGUAUCUCGUUCUUU
rnacentral:piRNA from 1 species